ACAGAGAAGAUGACCUGUAGGAGGCAGCAUACGCAUACAUAGAAUUUGAUUUUAACAAGGUUAUAGAGAAGCUGCAAAUGAAAUCUGAGUCAGCUUAUGAUUAUGUGGCUGACACAAGGAGACUUGAGCAAGAUACACAUUCAGCCUAAGGAGCAAAGUAGAUCUAUUAGUGAACAACCUAUGAGAGUAUUUUAAUUCUUGUAUAUUGGAGGCAAGGGAAAAGCCAAUCCUCACAAUGGUAAAGUAGAUUAAAAACGUCCUCAUGCAGAGGUUUCAAAUGAAAAGAGAUGGGAGUAAGAACAUUUAAUGGAAAAUCACUCCAAGUGCACAGAAGAGGCUUGAAGAGGAGAAAACAGCCUAAAUUAUAUGUUUGCCUACAUAUACUGAAAAUUUGGUGUCCGAGAGAGCCUAAAAAAUAGGCUGGGGUUAGACUGAGGUAUCAUUCUAUGAGGUGCUCAAACCGUAUGCAGUCUAGGCAAAACUAUAAGACCUAAAAGAAGCGAAGAAGACUUGACCUAAAAAAUUGGAAGAGCAAGAAGAGAGAAGACAGGGAUGUAGAUGUAUGUCAGAGGUUAUGUUCUUUAUUUGUGAUUUAUAAGAUGCUUAUUUGUUAUGUAUCCUGUUAUUUAUUUGUUAUUUAUGCAAGUGUGUCAUGUGGCAGGUUAUAGGUGGAAGUACUAACAAUUCUGGUCCCAUGUAUGUUGAAAAUAGUAGUUGGUUUGGCAUUGUGUAUCAGGUGGGACCUAAACAUUAUGUAUCAGCUUGUUAAUUAUUAAACUAUCACAAACAAGCUUUCACUUUGUUUUGUAGGAACUUGAGAUAGAAAGGAGAUCCAAGCUUAGUGUUGGAAGAGGCGGUCACAUGAGAAAUAGUAUUGCACCAAGUCAGCACCAGGGGGUCACCCAGACAUCCUAUCAAGUCAAGACAACACUGUACCAACUCAAGACUUCACUGCACAUGGUUCUGAAAGAAGACAGUGAUUGUUACUGUUGAGAGUUUGCUAGGGGUUCUGAACAUGGUCUAAGAGAUUGCUAGGGAUUCUAAAUAUCUUUUGAAUGCAAAUGAGUUCUGAACAUGGUUCUGAUUGUGAUUGAGAGGUUCUGAAAGUUCUGAACAUAAUCUAAAUGUCUUGUGAAUGUGAAUUUUAUCAUUUCCAUAUAUGGAUCUGAACAUAAUGUUAUUCCUUCUAAUGUCUUG